rnacentral:lncRNA from 1 species
AGCAGUUCGAAAGCACAGCAAAGUGCAAGUAGGUAAAUAGGUACCGCUACAGCGGGAAGGUAAAUGACAUUUCCGUGCGCUGCUCUGGUUUGCCAGAAGCGACUUAGUCAUGACCCGGAAGCUGUACGCCGACUCCCUCGGCCAAUAAAGCGAGAUGAGCGCCACAAUCCCAGAGUCGGCCACGACUGGACCUAAUGGUCAGGAGCCCCUUUACCCUUUACCUUUAUAGAAGACAUGCUUGGGUACAGAGCACAUGCUGCUGAUCUCAGUUACUUCAGGGGGAUCAUUUUUUCAAGUGGUAGACUGAGGGCUCAACUAGACACGGCUGAUGCUGCUGUUACAUAUCACCUUUCCACUCUUCCUCAUAACUAAAUGUUAUUUGGCACACCCCCUCCCUCUGCCUGGCCUCACAGCUUUGGCAGUCAGCAGUGGCAGACCCUUUAAGUGGCCCUAUUUUCCAGGGACAGAAGCUGUUCAAGUUUCUGAUUUGAUCCCAGAGCAUCCUGCUUUUCCUUAGGACAUCCCUGUUUUCAUUGGAGAAAUUUUGGAGGGUAUAGAAUAGGACGUUACUGGGGCAUUUUUCCAGCCGGAACUCACUGGAACUCAGUUCCAGCACCUCUUUCCCUAGAAAAAUAGCACUGGACAUCCCAAUUUUCAUCCUAGAAAUGUUGGAGGGUUUGCCGUAGAAGAUGGGCAAUAUGUCAAGUGAUGACAUGCACACCAGGCUUUCUCAGUGCAAUGGAUGUAGGGCUUUGCCCCCCCCCCCCCGGGCUCACUUGCUCUGUCCCUGCCAGAGCUCUCACUCAAGUAGGCAGUAGCACUUCUGAACAGUUCCUCAGCUUCCAUCCCCUUAAUUUGGUGGCCAUUUUAUAAUCCCCCAAUGUGUUGACUGAAAUUAUGAGAGUCUGAAGCAGGGCAGCCCAAAAUGCAGCGUGAGGGAAGUGUGAGGGCCUUUUUUGGGGUGGCCCUCAGCAACGUUUGACACCUCCCCUACCCCGGCAGACAUUGUACUGCCUUCCCAUAGCCCAGUGGUUGAGGUAACAGGCAGAGGAAUGGCAAGGCCCUCAUGGAGUGUAAUGCCAUGAACCUCUCCAUCACAGUGUCAGAUGAAAAAAAAGAUAUGUAAAUAAACCGUAUAUCAUAAAGACACCACCAUCUCCGCUGUGCCUCGUUUUCCAAAAGGAAACACAGACCCUGGGUAAAGCACGCCUGGAACCCCAGGAAUCUCACACUGCUGUGGAUGUAGCAAAAUGUUUGGCAAACUACUGUGCAUUUGUGACCUACCACUACAUAGGACUGUGAGGAGCGACUCAAGACAGAUUUUGUGUAGCAACCACAAUAUGUACGGUUGUUCUUAUGUUACUCAAAUUUGUAGGGAAUUUUACAGGGAUAUAACAUUAUAAAAAGUUGCUUUCGUUAUUAUAUGUAUAGCAUUCAUUUUCAGUGAUCAGCACUGAAAUUGUGUAAACCCAUGGCUUUUUUUUUCAGCCGGAACUUGCUGGAAAUCAGGCGGGCGCCAUUGCCAUUCUAAGAGAAUGAGGGAGGCAAUCACUGUGAGUCCCGGCACCUCUUUUUCUGGAAAAAUAGCAGUGUGUAAACCCAUCCCACCGCUAAAUUUGAGUUUAAAUCUAUUAUAAUGAAAAGAUAUCAUAGUGAGAAUUUGCAUCGGGCGAAGAUGAUGAAGACACAAGACUAACAUGGUGAGAAAAAUAGCAAGAUUUCAAAUAGCAAGAAGGGGAUGAAGGAAAGACCCCCUUGUGGUAUGAGUUCUGUGAGCAUUAUGGGGGGGGGAGUGGAGAGAAGGAAUUGACUCAGUCUCAACCAUCCCAAAUCCUAUCUGCUCAUCUGUUCAUCCUGAGCCUUCAAUUAAUUAAUUGAUUAAUUAAAACUGAGCAUUUAAUCUGCGAAUUUACAUGCCUCGGCUCCCGUUUGAAAGCAUUGUCCGUGGGCACUCAUCAAAAGAUUCCAGCCUUUUCCAAUCACCAUUGGCUCCCAAACAUAUUACUUUGUAAACAGGAAAUGACAGUGUUGGCUCCAUGCCCUCGUAUUGUAGCAACACUGCCAUAUGCCAGUAUCAUGCUAAAUUCAGUAAAGAUGCAACAAUAUAAUUAUUGGGGACAUCUGUCAGCAGCCUAGGCCUACAUCUGGCAUUAGUAUUUACAAAGAUCCAUGUCACAAGGGGGGUGUGGGGACACAAGAAGCAUAGUCAUAGUUUUGCUGACUGGGUUUUACAGGCCUUGUGCCAAAUACUACCUUUUAACCAGCUCCACCUGGUUAUAAAUGAGGCUGUGUUGAAUCAUAAAAGCUGAAUGCUUUUGGGAAAACAAGCAGCUGAGAAUCCCCUCCAAGAGUUAUGAUCCCUAGUGCCAAGCUGCAACAAUAAUUCUUAAUUUGAUUCAGUAGCCGAAAGUAGGGUGAAGUUGCAUCUCCUGGCAAGUGGGUCACUGCUGCUAAGAGGGAGGAACAAGGUAUUGGGAGGGUCAGCGCUGUGCAAACACAUUGGCAGAAGCCCUGCUUUGGCUCAGCAAGCACAUUUGCACAGUGCUGGUGGUCUUAACACCUUUCCCCUUCCAUUCUCCUUCCUGGUAUGCAGCAGUGCAGACCUUCCAAGUGUCCCUGUUUUUCAGGGACAGUUCUGGUUUUACAGAAGCCGUCCUGGUUUCUGAUUUGAUCCUGGAAUGUCCCGCUUUUCCUUAGGACACUCCUAUUUUCAUCGAAGAAAUGUUGGAGGGCAUGCUAGGAUGUCCCUAUUUCAUCAGUGAAAUGUUGGAGGGUAUAGAGUUAUGUGACCCCCGAGCCAAGGAGAUAAGUAACCUUUAGUAAACAUCUGAAGGUACAGUGGUACCUCGGGUUACAUACGCUUCAGGUUACAGACUCCGCUAACCCAGAAAUAGUACCUCAGGUUAAGAACUUUGCUUCAGGAUGAGAACAGAAAUCGCACAGCAGCGGCGUAGCAACAGCAGGAGGCCCCAUUAGCUAAAGUGGUGCUUCAGGUUAAGAACCGUUUCAGGUUAAGAACGGACCUCCAGAACAAAUUAAGUGCCGUAUUUUACGCUCUAUAACACGCACCCGACCAUAACACGCACGUAGUUUUUAGAGGAGGAAAACAAGAAAAAAAAUAUUCUAAAUGAAACAGUGGAUGUAUGAGUUUUGUGGUUCAUGCUGUGGCCACAGACAUGUGAUCUGACAGUGAGUUUGGAGUAGUCCAAUGCAAAAAUCCUGAGGAUCCAUGUGGAUCCAUGCUUUGUAACCACGUUUUUGCACCACUGCGGCCCCAGGCAACAGUGGGUGCAUGAUUUUUGGGGGGCAAGAUGUAGCCAUGGACAUGCUAUGUGAUCUGAUGGUGAAUUUGGGGUGACCCAGUGCAAAAAUCCUGAGGAUCCAUGUGGAUCCAUGCUUUGUAACCACGUUUUAAGUGAGGAGGGAAGGAAAAGCACUCAAGGGACAAGGAGUAUGCGUGGGGUGGGUGGAGAAGGAUGUUACUAAUAAUGCAGAAUAGGGGUUUAAGGGGAGAAGACGCAUGCGUGGGGUGGAUGGAGAAGGAUGCUGCUAAUAAUGAAGAAGAGGGGUAUAAGGGGAGAAGGCUCCUCUCCUCUCCCACUUUGCUCCUUUAAAGCAAGCAGGCUCUGCUUUUCUCCCUCCUCCCCGCUCAUCCCCGGCUUAGCGAGCUGAAAAACUUUGCUGCUAUGUAGCGAGCUGAGUGGGGAGGAGAGAGAGACAGAGAGUCUGCUUGCUUUAAAGGAACCAACCGGACAGGAGCUGCUUACACUCGUGUAAGUGGCUCCUCUCCUCUCCCGCUUUGCUCCUUUAAAGAAGCAGGCUCUCUGUCCCUCUCUCCUCCCCACUCAGCGGCUCUUCUCCCGCUUUGCUGUUUCAAAGCGAGCCACGGAGGAGGGAAGGAAGGGGAACCAUGGAUCCUCUGCUCACAACUGCAGCAGAUCCCCACCACCACCCAUAGGCAUUCCCUCCAUAACACGCACAGACAUUUCCCCUUACUUUCUAGGAGGAAAAAAGUGAGUGUUAUGGUGCAAAAAAUACGGUACUUAACCCGAGGUACCACUGUAUAGGGAAGUGUUUAAUAUUUUAUUAUGUUUUUAUAUAUGUUGGAAGCUGCCCAAAAUAUCUGGGGCAACCCAGUCAGAGGAGGGGUGUAAAUGAUGAUGAUGAUGAUGGUGAUGAAAUAGGACGUCCCUAUUUUCAUCAGAGAAAUGCUGAAGGGUAUGGCAGUGACCCACCUGCAGGAAGGUAUGGUAAGCACCCUCCAUCACAAAUACAGUGGUGCCCCGCAAGACGAAUGCCUCGCAAGACGGAAAACCCGCUAGACGAAAGGGUUUUCCGUUUUUGAGUUGCUUCGCAGGACGAAUUUCCCUAUGGGCUUGCUUCGCAAGACGAAAAUGUCUUGCGAGUCUAGAGAUUUUUUUUUCGCUCCCCCCCCCCUUUAUCUAAUCUGCUAAGCCUUUAAUAGCCUUUAAUAGCCUUUUAGCAGCUAAUCCCCUAAGCCUUUAAGCCUUUAAUAGCCGCUAAACCGCUAAUAGCGCUAAUCCGUUAAGCCGCUAAUAGGGUUGCUUCGCAAGACGAAAAAACCGCUAGACGAAGACUCUCGCGGAACGGAUUAAUUUCGUCUUGCGAGGCACCACUGUACACUUUCUGUUACUGGAUUCAAAUGGAUUUAUUGAGGGCCAUCAUGUAAACCUGUGGCGAGUCCCCAACAUUUUAAAGGAAUGUCUCUAAAAUCAGAGCCACUUUUGCUGAUCAGGUCAAAGGAAAUCUUGGCACUUUCUGAUGUGCUUGAGGACAUGUGGCAUUGGACUUAUCCGGCCUUUUUAAUUUGUCCCCAAACAGAAAGGCAAAGGCAAAGGCCUUAAUGCUGAACUUCCUGCCUUAUUAAAAGUCCAGCUGAGGCCCUUGAUGUUGUGUCGGUCCAGAUUGUGGACUUUAAUACAAUACAGUGCCAGUAUAAAGGCAACUUCAAAGGAGCUACUACAUGCUACUAUUAACUGAAUCCUCGUACAUGGAGAUGAAUGCUCAGGAGGCACCAUUCUGAGGGUUUUAUGGGUUUUCUACACCAUUUCUGAAAAAUGGCCAAAAGAAAACAAAAGAGAAUGAGAUAUCCGUGUGUAGGACAUGGAGGUUCUGAAAAAAAGCAACAUUCGCAGCAACAAAAAAAUUAAGAAAUUACAUCUGGCUGAGCAAAUUAUGCUGCAGCUCAUAAGAAAGGGACUCAUAAUGAGUUCAGAGAUUUUCAUAAAAGAAAAAUCUGUAUCGAGACAGAGUGUUCAGCCUGGCUAAUCUCUGCUAUUAAUAUUUCAAAGUGCCACACUGUGUACAUUUGGUGGGGAAUGAAAGUUGUAAAGCACGACGAGGGUGCUUGGAAGGGUGACUGGGAGCAAAACUUAAUUUGCUAGCUGAUUGAGACCAGGGCGUGAUUUAAAAAAUAACCAAAAACAAGCACAUGCAUAAUUAUAAACAUUCUUAAUUUUUAUGGCAACAUACUGACUUCAGACCAGAUUCCUCUCAUUAUUACCACAUUUUUCACUAAAAGCCUGUCAUGAGCAAGGGGAGUGAGUGGCGCUGUGGUCUAAAUCACCAGGUCUCUUGGGCUUCCUGAUCGGAAGGUCGGCGGUUCGAAUCUGUGUGUUGGGGUGAACUCCCGUUGCGUCAGAAGCGGUUUAGUCAUGCUGGCCACAUGACCUGGAAAGCUGUCUGUGGACAAAUGCCGGCUCCCUCGGCCUGAAAGUGAGAUGAGCGCCAAAACCCCAUACAGUGGUACCUCGGGUUAAGUACUUAAUUCGUUCCGGAGGUCUGUACUUACCGUAACCUGAAACUGUUCUUAACCUGAAGCACCACUUUAGCUAAUGGGGCCUCCUGCUGCUGCUGCACUGCCAGAGCACGAUUUCUGUUCUCAUCCUGAAGCAAAGUUCUUAACCUGAAGCACUAUUUCUGGGUUAGCGGAGUCUGUAACCUGAAGCAUAUGUAACCUGAAGCGUAUGUAACCCGAGGUACCAUUGUAGUUGCCUUUGACUGGACUUAACAGUCCAGGGGUCCUUUACCCCUUUUUCACCUCUCAUGAGCACUUCCCCCUCUCUCUCUCAUGCCUAAAUCUGCUUUGAAUCUCAGACUUUCUCUCAUUUUAUUGUCACAAUAAGAUGCUAUAGAACAGGGUUGGAGAACCCAUUCCACUCCCAGUGCUGGAUGUGCAAAUUUUGCUGGAGCAUGCAAAAUUCUGUAGGUUCUCUUCUGUAGGUUCUUGCUGCAUCCCCAGAGUCUUCCUUCUCUUGGUUGCAGGGGCAGUGAUGACAGGAAGGGGAAACACACGAAAAGGAAGUGUUUCUCCCCUUCCUGUCUCGUGCAGACUUUUUUUUCUUUUGGUGACCUGUAGGUUUGUGUCCCAUCCCAUGGCCCACAGCUUCUCACUUUCUUCUUCUGGGGCAGGCCUUUCUACAACUGCCCACCAUUUCCAAAUAAGCAGAAGGAGGUGGGUAAGCUUUAGCUAGCCAUGCCAUGCUGUUGUCAGGGCUUGGCUCCUGUUUUAUGUUCCUGCUGGUCCAGCAGAAAUGUAAAAGAGAGUCAGGCCUUGGCAUACCCCCCAACAUUUCUCCAAUGAAAAUAGGGACGUCCUAUUCCAUACCCCCCAACAUUUCUCUGAUGAAAAUAGGGGCAUUCUAUUCCAUACCCCCUGACAUUUCUCUGAUGAAAAUAGAGGCAUUCUAUUUCAUACCCCCCAACAUUUCUCUGAUGAAAACAGGGACGUCCUAAGGAAAAGUGGGACAUUCUGGGAUCAUUCUGGUUGACCCAGGCGCCAUCAUGGAGGCGGGGUAACAAAUCAUCAAGGAACAAUUACUGCCCUACUAGGGUGGUUCAUAAAAAACUUUUUUAAAAAAAUGCCUGCUCCAAAGGUCUUACCUUACUACACUAGAGAUUAUAUCGCUAUAUAUGAAAUUUCAUGCAUAUCAGUUAAUAUCUUGACCCUCCUCCACGAAAAUAACUGUUUACUUGGCCUUCCUAUGUCGUGAAGGCUGAAAUUUCAGUUCAUUCAAACAGGGUCAAGAUAUUAACUGAUAUCCUUUUUGUUUUGGUAAACCAUUUUGCAGGUUUUUAAAAAAAUAAAUUUUAUUAAAUAAAUAAACAAUAAAUAUAAAUAAAACAACACAAGCCAAAACACAAUCCAUCCUGUAGUUUUAAGUAUCUGUCCACAGUCACCAACUUGUUAUCAGAGGCCCAGAACCCACAUUCCUUUGUAAGAAAAUAUGAAAAAACGCAAAACCAUUUUUGCAGGGGGGAGGAGGAAUCAAUGGGGGGGGUGACAAGAAAUUUUCCACACCGGGUACCACCUGAUCUUCCUACACCUCUGAGAAGCAGUUCCAACAUUGUUUUGGAAAUGUAUCAUACCUGCGUCCAAAAGGAAGCUCCUCACAAGCAGUUUCAGCACCAAGGACAACACAAUUUGCCGACUGAAAACACAACUCUUGCAGCAGGUUCUCAUGGAGGGCGGCUGGACUGCCUGACCACACUUGGAUCGUUAUUGAUAUUAUUUUAUCUGCUUCUUUUAUCUUUCUCUUUAUAACUGUGUUUCACAUUACAAUGAAGAGCAUAUUAAAGGUAAAGGGACCCCUGACCAUUAGGUCCAGUGGUGACCAACUCUGGGGUUGCGGCGCUCAUCUCGCUUUAUUGGCCAAGGGAGCCGGCGUGCAGCUUCCGGGUCAUGUGGCCAGCAUGGCUAAGCCGCUUCUGGCGAACCAGAGCAGCGCACAGAAACGCCAUUUACCUUCCCGCCGGAGCGGUACCUAUUUAUCUACUUGCACUUUGAUGGGCUUUCGAACUGCUAGGUUGGCAGGAGCAGGGACCGAACAACGGGAGCUCACCCCGUAGCGGGGAUUUGAACCACCGACCUUCUGAUCGGCAAGUCCUAGGCUCUGUGGUUUAAUCCACAGAGUCCCUAUCAGAAGAGCAUAUUAGCAAUAUGUUAAAUAAAUUAUUAAAUAAAUUAAGCAACGCUAUUUAGGCUGCAUAAAAUAUCUAUUUCCUAUAAAAUAUUCCUUUCCUAUAAAGGUUAGCAAACAUUUGUUAUUGGUACAAAUUUGAAAAUGUUUCUCCAUUAAUGAAAUGACUCCUGCACAACCCAUAUAUCACUAGCAUUCAAGGCUAGUGACAGCUCCUGAUUUCUCCAAGCAGCCUAGCCUCACCUGGGAUUAUUUUGGCGGGACGCGGGGGGCCCUGUGGUCUAAACCACUGAACCCCUUGGACUUGCCAAUCAAAAGGUUGAUGGUUCAAAUCCGCACAAUGGGUUGAACUCCUGUUGCUCUGUCCCAGCUCCUGCCAACCUAGCAGCUCAAAAGCAUACCAGUGCGAGUAGAUAAAUAAGUACUGCUGCGGCGGGAAGGUAAACAGCAUUUCUGUGCACUCUGGCUUCCGUCACAGUGUUCCGUUGAGCCUGAAGCAGUUUAGUCAUGCCAGCCACAUGACCCAUAAAGCUGUCUGUGGACAAAUGCUGGCUCCCUCGGCCUGAAAAGCGAGAUGAGCCCCACACCCCAUAGUCACCUUUGACUGGACUUACAGUAACUGUCCAGGGGCCCUUUACCUUUACCUAUUUGGGGCAGCCUCGACUUGGAUGAACCCCAUAUUCCUCUGAAUUGGCUCCAUUCAGUUUCGGAUUCAGGCUGUGGCUGAAUCUGGUGUGCAGCCCCAGAAUUCCACUGGAACCAAGGAAUUAAGUGUGUUCAAGAAUGUUUCCUAACUCUAGAUAGCGUCGUCACUUCCUAACAUAAUGGGCAUGGGGACUGGUCACAAGAGACGGAGACGUUAAGCAGAGGCCCUUGCAUUUUGGUACAUGAUGUAGACACCCCUGGAUUUUCACACUCAUGCACUGUACUGUCAGUCCUCCCACUGAAAAAAGGGGGAGAAGAUGGGGAGGCUGGAAAAAUCAUAAUUAUACCAGAUGACUCACAUAGGCUUCUGUCGCCGCUCAGCUCCUAUUUUAAACAACAUCCCAUUGAGGUUUGUAAUCAAAUACUUACAUAUUUUCCCCCUUAAUGGUAUUAGUAAGCAAUGAUCCUUUUGUCUGCCCUCCUUAAAUAAGAUAAAGCCAACUGUUGUUCCUCCAUGUUGCCUUGCAUAUAGGUAGAGAGGCCUUUCUUUAUUCUUGUCCUGGUAGUUAUGACUAAUUCUCUGAGUUCACUGCAGCUACAUUUACAUUGGCAAGUUGAGAGGUUGCUGUUUGCCAAGAGAAAAUGCAUAUUGGUGGGGUGGGGUGGGGGGACAUAUUCCACAUCCACAUAGCCAAUGAAUACAUUUGAUAAAAUGAAUUGGACAUUCUUCCACUCCGUUUCCAAUGUUGGGUAUGAGGAGUAGCUGUUCCUGCUGCGGAAAAUUGGGAACGUCGAUCCCAGAGAGCAGGUAUGGGAAGAGCGAGGCAUACAAUGGGCACCACCAGUGAAAAGGCUCUGCUUCGUGUAACUCCUGCCCUGUCAGUUGAUAGAGUGCCCACUUGCCCUCCUUCUUGACAUGGAAUGCUCUUUAUUGGAGUCUCCAGGUCCACUACAAAGACCGUAAGAAGGGAGAGCAGGGAUCUUGAAGUUACCAACAGCUGUUAAUCAACCAAGCAAGCACACAGGUCACCUUUGUCACGGUCAGGACGCCUAUGUUCUGGCCAGGCCUGCACCCAAUCUUGUUUUUGUACAAUCUUGUUUGUCCUCAGUAACCAAAAUUAUAUUAUCAACAUAUACAACCAGAAAAGUUGUUUUCCUUCAUUUGCAAGGAAUCGUACAAAACAAAGUGGCACUAAUAAAGAAAAGUUCCAGGGUGGCAACAGAAAGCAAACUAAAAAUGCUUUUGCAGUUCAUCAAAAUUAUCCAGCAUAAUCAAGUUAUAGGAAAACUGAUGCUAUUAACAGUAAUCCUUCUAGUUGAUUAAUUGGUUCGACAACUUCCAUGCACAUAAUGUGUGAUGCUAAUUAAUUUGCCCAAGAGUUAAAUGAUAACCAAUCAGAGGCAGCUACAGGAGAACGAUGAGAUUCAGGCGAGGGUCAGAUGCCUUGUCAAUCCCAGCAGGCAUAAAAGAGGACGACCCGGCCUGCCCAGGCCUCCGGCAACCCGUCUGGUUCCCACUCUGGCCUGGGCACAGAAUCUCCUAUAGUACCCAUUUCUCUGUCCUCUGGUUCCACUUGAAGCUCCAUGUUUGGAGGUACCCUGGCUCUGAUCUGGUCAAGGUGUCCCUUGCAAACCAGUCCCCCCUCCAACCCUACCUCAUAGGAAACCGGACCUGUACAGCGGGCAAUGAUACCAGGGACCCAACCCUGUCUGGGCCCAUAGUUUCAGACGUACAGUGUCCCCCGGGGAGAACCCUCUUGGAGCCCCCCACACCACAGUAGAUGGCCGUUGCUCAAGAGCCUGGUCGGGGUGCAUACAAUCAAGGAGGGUAGUGAGCCUCCUCCCCAUAAGCAACUCCGCCGGGCUCUGGCCGGUCACUGUGCUUGGGGUGAUGUGUUGGACCAAUAAGAACUCCGCUAACUGUCCAGUCUCCAUGCACUAUGCACCUAAGCGCAUCUUUGGUAGUAUGGACCAUGCGUUCAGCUUGGUUGUUAGUGGCCAGGUGAAAAGGAGCGGAACGAAUGUGGUGGAUUCCCUUCUUGGUUACAAAUUCUUUGAAUUAACACUAGGCUUCUCCUCUUUGGGGGCCUGGGCAGGCUGCGUCAUCCUCUUUUAUACCUGCUGGGAUUGACAAGGCAUCUGACCCUCACCUGAAUCAGGCCGGCCUGCCCAGGCCCCCAAAGAGGAGAAGCCUAGUGUUAAUUCAAAGAAUUUGGUUACUGAGGACAAACAAGAUUGUACAAAAACAAGAUUUUUUUUAAAUAGCUUUUAUUUUGCUUAAACAGGUACAUAUAAAUAUACACAACCAUAAAUUACAAAGGAAAAUUCCUUGAAAGUGAUGAAAAAAACCUACAAAAAAUAUCGAAGUACAUGACACAGAACAUAAGCAACUAUGGGAAAGAUAAAAGAAAAAAGAAAAAUGGGGGGGGGGGAGGAAGAUGAGCCAAAGCAGGAAAGCUCAUCAAUUGUACACUUCCGUCAAGCUCACAACAGAUCAUUAUUCUUAUCAAUUAACUCUAUCUGCAUUCCAAAUGAAUCCCUCAUCUUGGUAUCAGGGAACAUUUCUCUAUGCGGUAUCAUUCUAAACAUAGCCAGAUCUUUCUUGCUGAGCCCUUGUCCCCUAAAUAAUUAUUUAAAUAUUCCCAUUCUUCUUUCACCAACUUUUUAGGUUUAUCUCUUAUUGCAUCUGUCAGCUUUGCGAGCUCCAAGUACUCGCACAAUUUGACUACCCAUUCCUCUUUAGUGGGUAUAUUUUUAUCUCCUUUAGUGGGUAUAUUUUUACCUGCUGGGAUUGACAAGGCAUCUGACCUUCACCUGAAUCAGGCCGGCCUGCCCAGGCCCCCAAAGAGGAGAAGCCUAGUGUUAAUUCAAACAAUUUGGUUACUGAGGACAAACAAGAUUGUACAAAAACAAGAUUGGGUGCAGGCCUGGCCAGAACAUAGGCGUCCUGACUGUGACAAAGGUGACCUGUGUGCUUGCUUGGUUGAUUAACAGCUGUUGGGAACUUCAAAGUCCCUGCUCUCCCUUCUUAUGGUCUUUGUAGUGGACCUGGAGACUCCAAUAAAGAGCAUGCCAUGUCAAGAAGGAGGGCAAGUGGGCACUCUAUCAACUGACAGGGCAGGAGUUACACGGAGCACUCUUGGUGCCCACUGUAUGCCUUGCUCUUCCCAUACUAAAAAGUUAGGAAACAUUCUUGAACACACUUAAUUCCUUGGUUCCAGUGGAAUUCUGGGGCUGCACACCAGAUUCAGCCACAGCCUGAAUCCGAAACUGAAUGGAGCUAAUUCAGAGGAAUCUGGGGUUCAUCCAAGUCGAGGCUGCCCCAAAUAGGUAAAGGUAAAGGUAAAGGACCCCUGGACAGUGACUGUAAGUCCAGUCAAAGAACCAUCAACCUUUCAAUUGGCAAGUCCAAAGGGUUCAGUAGUUUAGACCGCGUCUCGCCAAAAUAAUCCCAGGUGAGGCCAGGCUGCUUGGAGAAAUCAGGAGCUGUCACUAGCCUUGAAUGCUAGUGGUAUAUGGGUUGUGCAGGAGGGAUUUAAUUAAUGGAGAAACGAUUUCAAAUUUGUACCAAUAACAAAUGUUUGCUAACCUUUAUAGGAAAGGAAGCACAGUUUUUCAACUCAAACGUAUCUAAAUAUCUUGCACUUUUUCCUUUCUUUGAAAUAUGAAAAAGGUAUAAUCACAUGAUUUUUAAGUCCCUCUAGCCAUAGGUAUUUUAUGCAGCCAGUGGGCCUGGAGACUCCAAUAAAGAGCAUUCCAUGUCAAGAAGGAGGGCAAGUGGGCACUCUAUCAACUGACAGGCCAAGAGCUACACAGAGCAGGGACUUUUCACUGGUGGUGCCCAUUGUAUGCCUCACUCUUCCCAGACCUGCUCUCUUUUAGCCUGUAUUUUGGAGCUUUAUCAUUUAGGAACAUUUUGGAAGAACUGGUUGACAAGUCUUAUCAUUGCUGACAUAUGAGCGGAUUUUAUUUGCUGCUAUUCUGGGCUUCUGGUGCACCAGGGUUUACACCAGCAUAAUAGAGUUGGCCAGAAUGCCAGAAAGGAUACAAUUUAUGAGCUUUCUCCAUUAUCUGCACAGCAGGGGGUGUUCAGUCUACAGUGCAAAGAUUGAGCUGAAGCAUUCCCUGCUGGUUACCUGCUUUCAGCAAUAGGGGUCGCUGUUUGGUAGUACCCAAUUGGUUAGCUGUCAGAUUCUAGAGCUCCCUAUUGGUGGCUCUUAGGUAAUUUACAAAAUACAGAAUCCAUUCAUAAAACACAGUGUUAAUUCAUAAAGCAGUAACAUAAAUCUCCAUUGCUAUAUAUUUCUACAUAUUGGGUGUAUAUUUCAGUGGUUGAACAUACAAGUUUAUGGCCAUACUGUAGUGUAGUGCUUAUGUGACUGUGAAUAAAAGGUGGCUGGGCUCAUUGUCUCAGGGUUUGGGGGGGAAGAGGUGACAAAACUGAUUUCCAAUAAGUGCCCCCCCUUUAUUUCCAUAACAAGUCCUUGAGUCUGUACUCUGAAUGGUGACACCAGGGACCUAGAAGGUGCAGGGCUUGUCAGUCCAACCCCUGCACAGUCUCAACAGGGCUGACCUUAAGGCAAUUGGAGCAAUUGGGCCAAAUUGAGCCCCACAUCCCACAUCCCACUUUUCCUUAGGAUGUCCCUAUUUUGGGGGGUAUGGUAGGACGUCCCUAUUUUCAUCAGAUAAAUGUUGAAUGGUAUGGAGUUAUGUGACCUACAAGCCAAGGAGGUAAGUAACUGUACAACCUUUAGAAGACAUCUGGAGACAGCCCUGUAUAGGGAAGGAUUUUUAAAAAUGUUUAAUGUUUUGUUUUUAUAUAUGUUGGAAGCUACCCAGAGUGUCUGGGGCAACCCAAUCAGAUGGGUGGGGUGUUGUGUUGUUGUUGUUGUUGUUGUUGUUGUUGUUGUUGUUGUUGAAUAGAACAUUCCUACUUUCAUCAGAGAAAUGUUGGAGGGUGUGGAAAUAAGGCUGCAAUUCUAUGCAUCCUUACCUAGGAGCAAGCCCUAUGGAACUCAGUGGGACUAAUUUAUUGGUCGACAUGUAUAGGAUUGCAUUGCAAGUCCUAUUAAGUUCCAUGUGGCUUACUCUCACUCCAAGAGUCACAGCGGGAUAGGUACAGCCCCUGAUAUGCAAUGGAGAACCUCCUCACCCCUCAAAGCAAAACAAAAUAAAACAAAACCCCUUACUGUCAUCCAAGCAUUGCACAGCAGGGUAUUCAUGAAGUGUAGUAGUGCCCAUUAUAAGCCAUGUGUAACUAUGAGAUACAUAUCUGAAUAACCCCUUGACUCUCUUAGCCGAAUAAGGUCCUUAGCAUAAUUGAACUCCUGCAUGCAUAAUGCCUUGCAGAUCAGUGCGCUGUCUGAGAAUGCUCUUGUGAUUCCUCAUUAGUGAGCGUGUCUGCCUUCUGCCACUAACAGACUUAAGUUCUUUUCAUCUGUUACAUACCUAAUUGAAUUAUAGAUCAGUACUAAGGGAGCCUGAUAAGUACUCUGCAGCAGCAACAGGCAAGUCUUUAAGAAGGUGAUAUAAUACGGAAUAAUUUAUUUCAGGAUGCGAUGAAAUGGGCAGAACUCUUUUAAUGGAAUGGCUAAUUUUACAGGUCGAAUGGGCCACAAACAUCCAUAACGCCAGACACCCAAUGAUGUGCAGAAGGUGGUCCCGCUGCUGCGCGAAACUUGGCAACCACUCAAUGCAACGGGGACAACACUGUCAACAACAGGACGUAACUGUACGAGAGUAUCCAGACAGGCUCAUCGCAGGCAAAUUAUUCUCUCAUUGUUGGUCAAGGCCAAAGCACAAGUAAAACAGGGGAAAGCAUAUUAAAGGGUGCGACACGGCUAAACUUGCAGGACACUUCACAGUAUUAAUUUGUGCCUGCUAAAGAGAAGCAUGACAAACCUGUGUCUUCUGAGCACUCUGUAAGAAUGACACAAUCUGGAUGGAGAAAUCUCUUGUUUUUAACUCUGAUUUUUGAUGCACACACAUGAGAGAGAGAGAGAGAGAGAGAGAGAGAGAGAUGUUAAUUUUUUUCUACCUAUUGUCAUGCAAAUUAAUGAGACUGACACGGGAGCAGCCAACAUGUGAUGAAAGCUUCCGCUAACAAGGUCAGCAUGGAAUGACUACA